UUGUCUUUUACAUGUGGAAGUGAAAAAAGCUUAAGAACUCAUACCAUCUACAAAACCUUGAGGUGGAAAAGUUGACCAUGUACUCUAACUGUUUGAAUGACAAAGAGUGAGCCCAAGCAUGGGAAAUAAGAGUACAAAAGGCUGGAUGGUGUGCACUGAAAGCAAUUAAUACAAAGAUUCAUAUAAAUAAAUGUGAUUGCAAAUUAAAUACAACCUCGUCUGGAACACUCAAAACAAAUAAAAAGCAAAGAUGAUUUAACAGAAAGUUGGGAUUUUAAAAUGAGAAAAAUUAAUAACAUUUCAUGACGACACUUGAGGUUGACCUUGACAGUGAAGGGGUCACACUGACAUAGUUGUGGUAAGAGAGCAUACAGGUGCAACUCUUUAAUAUGUACUAAUAACCUUGAAAAUUGUUCAACUCUUCCCAGUUAAUUAUUCCACUUAUAGGAAACAAUCCUGAGACCCAAAUAAAUUGUGCCACACACACAAAAAAAUCUGUCUAUUAAGAUUUUCAAGGCAACAUAAAGUACAGAACUCACAAAAAUUGAAAAGAUAUUCAAUAAGAGAGGAAUAAUUAAAUUCUAGUAUACCCAUAGAAUAUAAUUUCAUGCAGCCAUUAAAGUCAUGAUGGAGAAAAAAUUUAGUGACAUGAAAAUGUGUAUGAUAUGAGGGGAAUAGUGAUAACAGCUAACAUUUAUUAUUAUAAGUGUCCAGCAAGUGUCAGGUACUUCUCCAAAGGCCUUAGGUCUUUGCAUCAUUUACUCCUCAAAAGACCUGAAAGCAGUUGUAUGAGUAUCAUCCCCAAUGAUGUACUGAGGAAACAAAGUCUUAGAGCUGAUUUGCUCUGUGCCCCACAAAUCAUUAAGUGAUAUGCUAAGUCAUGACCGUCAGACCACCUGAUGCAAGGUCUGUGCUCCUGAGAGCUCUCCUGCCUGGAGACUCUCAGAACACCACGCUCUCAGCUAUGUUAAAAAAAAAAAAAAAAAGUAUAUGCACAUUCAGAAAAAAUCCUGGCUGGACAUACCCUGAAACCUUAACAGUGAUUGCCUCUGAGUGAUGAGGUUAUAGAUCACUUUCAUUUUCUUCUUCAAAUCAGUCUUUAAUUUUAAAUCGUCCUGGCAGUGAACAUUAGUCAAUAAUCAAGAAGAAAAAUUUUCAUGAAGUGGAGAGGCCAUUUCCAUACACAGAUUUGUACACCCGGGGGAAAAAAAUAAUAACUCAAAAGGCAGAGCUAAAAAUGGAAUUCCAAAGUGUUGCCUGGAAAUUAGUGGGAGUUCAAAGGAGUUAAAUAAAAGAUGGAAAAUUGGAGAAGGGCCAUUGCUAAAUCUUUAAGCUCUUCCAAAAGGUUUCUCUGUGCGGUUGUUGGUUUCUAUCUCUCAGCCCUCAGCUUAACUGAUGAGCGUUUACGUAGUUACUGAGAACUAAAGAGUCACUCUGAGGCUCCAAACGUAGGAGUCUGGUGGUUGCUGUUGUUAUUUUGUUUUAAUGGAUUUGUUUAUUGGCCUGACAAAUGAAUUUACUAUCAGCGGGCCCUUUUUUCCCCUUUCAGUUUUAUUAUCUUUUUUUUUUUUUUUUUUUAAAUCAGGCAACACUUUGUUGAACAAUCCUGACCCUGAAGAAUGCUUGCUGGCACGUUGUCCAAGAAAUCUAGCAGAAGUUUGUAUGAUUAUCUUUAUGACAAUGCACCUGCCCUACAAUAAGCUUCUUGGAACCUGAAGCACAGGAGGGAUGGUUUCAAGCCAUGGUUCUCUGUUUUCCACUUCACUGGACUUGCAAGAGCCUCUUUGAGAUGAU